CAGACACAGACACACAGACACAGACACACAGACACACAGACACACAGACCUCCAGGCCCUGCCACCAUGAGGCUGCCACUGAUCUUCAAAUAUAGCUGAGCAUCAAUCAGUUCCUGACAGGCUUUUAGUGUAAUUUCUCUUCCUUCCCUUGGCUUUCUGUCCUCUUCCUCUCAACCUUUCCUCCGCUGCUCUUUGAGUAUUCCUACAGGCGUGUGCUUUUUCAGUGAGUCUGCGGAGCAGAGGUCACAUUUUGAGUUUCAUCCCCCUGCCUCCCACAUAUCACAACGUUUAAAUAUCCUUGAGAGAUAUAGAAGAAGUUAAUUAAUGUAUGUAAAUCCAAGCCUGUUGUAUCACAGCUUGCAUUUAUUUAUUCCACUUUUUUUAAUGGAAAUCUUUAGAUUUUUCAAUUUGUCAUCGUGGCUCGCUUCCUCCUUCAAAGUCUAGUCUGCAUGGUUACCUUGAAUAACACACAAACCGUUUCAUCUCAAGACAGAACUCUUAAUGGAAUAAUCAUAGAACAUUUCUUCCUCUGUAAUCCUGUGAUUAUUUAAUCUUCAAAAUGACAUUUGGUCUUUUUCUCCUUCCGCCACAGUUUAGACAGUCUAGACUGUCAUCAGACAUGUACAGGUAUGUUAUGAAUGUUGAUGACUUUGUGUUAUAUCACAUGUAGUGUAGUGGUGCUUGGAGAAGUGGUUAUACAUUAAUCUUACCCAACAUUUCCCAAACGGCUCACCUGGUGAAGAAAAGGUGCACUGUGUAAACAAUUUGAUGAGAAACAGAAAAUGAUCAAUCCCAUAUUGGUAUUUUGCAGUCAGGCCAUGCCAAGCUCUAUACACCAAUUGGCAACACCCACUCCUCAGAAGUGUAAACACAAGUUGCUGAAUUGUUCGUUUAGAAAUCAGAGCUUUACCACUAUAGAAGGCCACAGAUGAGCUCUCCUGUUUUGGAGGAAAGUUGAAGUCAAUGGUGAAGCAAGAGCCAGAGGUGAAGGAUUGAGAGUAAGAGGAGGACGAGGAAGGACAGUUGUCUCAGAUGAGAACACAUUGGUUGACCAUGUCCUCAAACAUGGAUUGAGAAUGAGGGAGGCUGGGCAGAGAGUUCAGCCCAACCUGAGCCACUACACGGUUGCAUCUAUCAUCCUUACAUUCAGAAAUGAGAACCGGUAAGUUACCUACCAUCUACACUAUGCUCUUUAUGUAUGUAUACUGUAGUAUACUGCAGUCUGACAUAUCAGUAGGCCUAUGUUACUCGGUGAUUGUUGGCCAAUGUUACAGUAAUGUCAUUUCAUAUUGAAUGAUUUUUUUUUAUUUUAGCUUACUGUAACCAAUCAAAUCAUAUUUGUGGAUCUUCUGCAGAACUGAGAGAAGGCCAGGCCAUGGUGGAAGACACCGGCUGUUCACACCAGAACAGGAGACCUCUUUUGUGAACAUGGUGGUGGCAAACAAUACCAGUACACUACGAGAAAUCCAGAACCACAUAAUUUCAGACAACACAAUAUUCAAUAACAUUCACCAGGUGGGCUUGUCUACACUGGACCGUGUAUUACAGCGCAACCGAAUCCGGAUGAAACAGGUCUACAGGGUGCCAUUUGAGCGAAACUCAGAGAGGGUUAAAGAACAGCGCUAUGAAUAUGUGCAAAGAGUCUUGGAGCUGGAUGCCGCUGCAAUUCAGCACGUUUAUAUUUACAUUGAUGAGGCUGGCUUCAACCUAGCCAAAAGAAAGGGAUUGGGAAGGAACAUUAUUGGCCACCGUGCCAUUGUGAAAAUUCCUGGACAGCGUGGAGGGAAUAUCACCAUGUGCGCAGCCGUGAGUCAGCAAAGCCAUCGCCAUGCCAACCUUGGUCCCUACAACAUCGCCCUUCUCAUCACAUUCCAUGCUGCUCUGGUCUGCAACUGGUUCAUCGAUCACCCACAAUUUAUUGUUCUGUACCUCCAAUCAUAUUCCCCAUUCCUAAACCCAAUUGAAGAGGGGUUUUUUUCGGCAUGGCGAUGGAAGGUGUAUGACCGCCAUCCCCUCGCAUGCAAUGGAGGAUACAUGUGGUGACGUUGAUGUGGUGGUUUUCGGCAGCUGGAUCCGUCACUCCAGAAGAUUCUUUCCCCGCUGUUUAGCCAGGGAGAAGCUGGCUUGCGAUGUAGAUGCUGUGGUGCUGUGGCCAGACCAAAAUAGGAGGCAGGAUGCUGCCCCAUGUAUUUUUUCUUACAUUUUGCAUGUGCUUUUAUCUUUUUGUGUUUAGAGUUUUGAAAGAUUGAGCAUCUUUAAUAUUUUGUUUUUGUACAGAAAACCAUUUAUCUUACUGAAUGUUUUUCCUGGUUUUCUCCUGUUAUGUAUGGCAAGCCUUGCAUAAAAAUACAAGUGUUCAAAAAUAUUGCAUUUUGGAAAUAAAUGACAAUGUUUUUGUUACUGUAUUGCAUUUGAAUGCGUUUUUUAAUGUAAAUUUGAGUAGGUAUACAUUACUGUAACCAUAUUUUACAAAUGGCUACAGUGUAACACUGAAAAAUUGAUAUUCAUAGUAGUGUUUUGUGUUUAGCACAUCAAUGUGUUGUUGGUUGGUAGACAGAUCAAUUCAUAAGACGCGUGUGUGUGUGUAUGUCGUUCUGAUACAACAACAAAAAA